AUUGAACGCUGGCGGAAUGCUUUACACAUGCAAGACGAACGGCAGCACGGACUUCGGUCUGGUGGCGAGUGGCGAACGGGUGAGUAAUGUAUCGGAACGUGCCCAGUCGUGGGGGAUAACGUAGUGAAAAUUACGCUAAUACCGCAUACGAUCUAUGGAUGAAAGCGGGGGAUCGCAAGACCUCGCGCGAUUGGAGCGGCCGAUAUCAGAUUAGGUAGUUGGUGGGGUAAAGGCCCACCAAGCCAACGAUCUGUAGCUGGUCUGAGAGGACGACAAGCCACACUGGAACUGAGACACGGUCCAGACUCCUACGGGAGGCAGCAGUGGGGAAUUUUGGACAAUGGGCGAAAGCCUGAUCCGGCCAUUCCGCGUGCAGGAUGGAGGCCCUCGGGUUGUAAACUGCUUUUGUACAGAACGAAAAGGUUUCUACUAAUACUAGGAGCUCAUGACGGUACUGUAAGAAUAAGCACCGGCUAACUACGUGCCAGCCGCCGCCGUAA
rnacentral:rRNA from 1 species